rnacentral:lncRNA from 1 species
UUCAUUUUCUGUUUUGUUCAUUUAAAUUUAUAACCUUAUAUGAUACAUAGGAUAUAAUUUUUAAAAUAAUAUUUAAUUUUAUUUAUCUAUUUUUAUUAUAUUUAUUAUAUAUAUAUUUUAAAAAUAAUUAAAAUAAUUAUAAAAACUAUAUUUUGUACAUAACAUUCAUUAUAAACCAUCGGAUAAAUCUGGUGAAGAUCCGACGAUCCUG